AGAAGAGCAAGAGAUACAGCACUCUUUUGUCCAGACCAUGGGAAACAAGAGUAUUUGAAACUUCUUGGACUGACUUCCACUAUUUAAGUUACUUGUGAUGUCUUAAUUUUUUUUUGGCUAAUUUUUAUUGGAUACCUCAAUCACCUGUGGUUCAAGGACAGUUAAGCAAUGUGGAAAAGCUGGGGGCAAAGGUGUGCUUCUCAGAAGAACUUCUUAUUUAUCUUGUGUAGCUCUAGAUCACACCCAUUUGCCCAUUGUUGCUCACUUUAAGGAGGUUGUACUGCAUAGCUCUGUGGCUGAGGCUUAAUCGCUGAUAUGAGAAAAUGAUCCUGUGGCCAGAAUGUUUAAGUCCUACUAAAAUUAACAUAUGGCAAUCAUACUACCAAAGAUGACAUUUACAAGUGGAUUCUUUGUGCAGGCAGGUUGAUGAUGAUCCCUCUCUCCUGAUCCAGGAUGGAUGGAUGUCCUCUGCAUACCUGUUCUCAGGUCUGUGCUCUCUGCUGACACCAGUACCAACUAGCUAACCAUGCUGGAGAAUUUUUCUGCAAUAAACUCUCUAAAUCCUACAGAUACACUCAUCUCUGUAUCCAUGGUACUGACCAAUGUCCAAAUAGAAAAUGAGUUAGAACGC
rnacentral:lncRNA from 1 species